rnacentral:rRNA from 1 species
CGCAGUAGGAUAGGCGAAGCGUGCGAUUGGAUUGCACGUCUAAGCAGUAAGGCUGAGUAUUAGGCAAAUCCGGUACUCGUUAAGGCUGAGCUGUGAUGGGGAGAAGACAUUGUGUCUUCGAGUCGUUGAUUUCACACUGCCGAGAAAAGCCUCUAGAUAGAAAAUAGGUGCCCGUACCGCAAACCGACACAGGUAGUCAAGAUGAGAAUUCUAAGGUGAGCGAGCGAACUCUCGUUAAGGAACUCGGCAAAAUGACCCCGUAACUUCGGGAGAAGGGGUGCUCUUUAGGGUUAACGCCCAGAAGAGCCGCAGUGAAUAGGCCCAAGCGACUGUUUAUCAAAAACACAGGUCUCUGCUAAACCGUAAGGUGAUGUAUAGGGGCUGACGCCUGCCCGGUGCUGGAAGGUUAAGAGGAGUGGUUAGCUUCUGCGAAGCUACGAAUCGAAGCCCCAGUAAACGGCGGCCGUAACUAUAACGGUCCUAAGGUAGCGAAAUUCCUUGUCGGGUAAGUUCCGACCCGCACGAAAGGCGUAACGAUUUGGGCACUGUCUCAACGAGAGACUCGGUGAAAUCAUAGUACCUGUGAAGAUGCAGGUUACCCGCGACAGGACGGAAAGACCCCGUGGAGCUUUACUGUAGCCUGAUAUUGAAAUUCGGCACAGCUUGUACAGGAUAGGUAGGAGCCUUUGAAACGUGAGCGCUAGCUUACGUGGAGGCGCUGGUGGGAUACUACCCUAGCUGUGUUGGCUUUCUAACCCGCACCACUUAUCGUGGUGGGAGACAGUGUCAGGCGGGCAGUUUGACUGGGGCGGUCGCCUCCUAAAAGGUAACGGAGGCGCUCAAAGGUUCCCUCAGAAUGGUUGGAAAUCAUUCAUAGAGUGUAAA